CUCAGGACGAACGCUGGCGGCGUGCCUAAUACAUGCAAGUCGAACGCUUUUUCUUUCACCGGAGCUUGCUCCACCGAAAGAAAAAGAGUGGCGAACGGGUGAGUAACACGUGGGUAACCUGCCCAUCAGAAGGGGAUAACACUUGGAAACAGGUGCUAAUACCGUAUAACACUAUUUUCCGCAUGGAAGAAAGUUGAAAGGCGCUUUUGCGUCACUGAUGGAUGGACCCGCGGUGCAUUAGCUAGUUGGUGAGGUAACGGCUCACCAAGGCAACGAUGCAUAGCCGACCUGAGAGGGUGAUCGGCCACACUGGGACUGAGACACGGCCCAGACUCCUACGGGAGGCAGCAGUAGGGAAUCUUCGGCAAUGGACGAAAGUCUGACCGAGCAACGCCGCGUGAGUGAAGAAGGUUUUCGGAUCGUAAAACUCUGUUGUUAGAGAAGAACAAGGAUGAGAGUAAAAUGUUCAUCCCUUGACGGUAUCUAACCAGAAAGCCACGGCUAACUACGUGCCAGCAGCCGCGGUAAUACGUAGGUGGCAAGCGUUGUCCGGAUUUAUUGGGCGUAAAGCGAGCGCAGGCGGUUUCUUAAGUCUGAUGUGAAAGCCCCCGGCUCAACCGGGGAGGGUCAUUGGAAACUGGGAGACUUGAGUGCAGAAGAGGAGAGUGGAAUUCCAUGUGUAGCGGUGAAAUGCGUAGAUAUAUGGAGGAACACCAGUGGCGAAGGCGGCUCUCUGGUCUGUAACUGACGCUGAGGCUCGAAAGCGUGGGGAGCGAACAGGAUUAGAUACCCUG
rnacentral:rRNA from 1 species